GGCCCUGACUAACCAGUGAAGUGAGUGGGAGACAUAGAGGGGAACUUGAGAAAAAGGAUGGGAAGUGGUUCAGGGAUAACUACAGCAAAGGUAAAGUUGUAGCCCUAGCUGUUUGGUACAAGGCCUAGGCUGGAACCUAGAGUCAAGGAUAGGUCUGGGUUCCCUUACUGGCCCUGGGAAGGGGCUACAAACCCCUAGAAAGGCUUGUUGAGGUCAGCAAGGGGGCUGCAGGCUGAACUGAGGUUAGGCUGAAGAAAGAGCCCCUGACAGGGUAGAAGGCCUUUCUGUUAAAGAAACUUUUAGUUUGGGCCAAUGGCAUCCCCAAAGGGGUGGACUAAAGCUGAUGACCCGGACAGAGGGCUGAGUCAUCAGACAGAGAAAUCACCAUAGCACUGGAGUGAUCAUUGGAAAUUUUUUUUUAAAAUCUAUGGAGGCUGACAUUUUAAUCAGACAAAGUCAAGAAAAUCAGAAUUAUGGGGCUAGAUCACUAGUCCUCACUAAGUGCUGUUCCAGUAGUACAAUGGGCACUAAAGCAGACAACCACUCCUGGCCCCCCCAGAAGCUGUCUGGGACUCUGGGCUCCCAAUAAUUUUGGUACUCUGUGGGGACAGAUGUGUCCAUGAUGGGUGUACGUGCACUGGGCCCACCUACCCCACUAAGCCUGUGGCCUGUGAGGGAGUGGAGGCCAGAAUGGAGGAAAUGAAGAGGAGUUGACUGGGUUUUACUACAUGCUUUGAGGCAGCCUCCUGAGUUCAACCUUAUGCAGAGAGGGAAGCAGCCUGGUCUGGGACAGGGCACUGAAGGAUAGGUACCUGUGGGAAAAUUUCUGUCUCCUGUUUUUCUGUGGAAAAUUGGGUUUUUGAUUAAACAAUUGUUCUUGUGCA